UACGGAGGGGGCUAGCGUUGUUCGGAAUUACUGGGCGUAAAGGGCUCGUAGGCGGCCAACUAAGUCGGAUGUGAAAUCCCCAGGCUUAACCUGGGAACUGCAUCCAAUACUGGAUGGCUUGAAUCCGGGAGAGGGAUGCAGAAUUCCAGGUGUAGCGGUGAAAUGCGUAGAUAUCUGGAGGAAUACCGGUGGCGAAGGCGGCAUCCUGGACCGGCAUUGACGCUGAUGAGCGAAAGCUAGGGGAGCAAACGGG
rnacentral:rRNA from 1 species